GAUGAACGCUAGCGACAGGCUUAACACAUGCAAGUCGAGGGGCAGCGAGGGCGUAGCAAUACGCCUGUCGGCGACCGGCGCACUGGUGAGUAACACGUAUGCGACCUGCCCCCUACAGGGGUAUAACCCGUAGAAAUGCGGACUAAUCCCCCAUAGUCCUGGAGGCUGCAUGGCCUCCGGGGGAAAGGGUUUCCGGUAGGGGAUGGGCAUGCGGCGCAUUAGCUAGUUGGCGGGGUAACGGCCCACCAAGACGACGAUGGGUAGGGGUUCUGAGAGGAAGGUCCCCCACAUUGGAACUGAGACACGGUCCAAACUCCUACGGGAGGCAGCAGUGAGGAAUAUUGGUCAAUGGGCGGAAGCCUGAACCAGCCAAGUAGCGUGAGGGAUGACUGCCCUAUGGGUUGUAAACCUCUUUUAUAAGGGAAUAAAAUACGGGACGUGUCCUGUUUUGCAUGUACCUUAUGAAUAAGGACCGGCUAAUUCCGUG
rnacentral:rRNA from 1 species